rnacentral:lncRNA from 1 species
AGGAGGUUAUCGGCUGUGCUAAGCACAGCCUAGGCCCCCUAUAAUCUAUUGUCAUAUAAAAUAAGAUUAACAGUAAUGUUUGCGAAAUAGCAUUCUUAAAAUUAUAAAUUACCAAUCAAGUAUGCAGCUAACAAUAUGAGACUAAACAAAACAAAAAAAUCAUUAGCAUUGCAAAAGAGAAGAGAAGAUGACAAAAGAUUGGCAAGUAGUUUGACAAAUAGCUUAACAUCUUCAAGUGCAAGUUAGUCUUACAGAGACAAGAGAUGACUUGCUAAAUACUUAAUAUAAAGUGCAAUCAUAGGCUGCAAUUACAAAAGAUCACAUAUUGAGAUCCAUUAAGGUGCACAAAAGAACAAGUGGUUAAUUGAUCACAGCCAAUGCCCAUUGAGAUUAAUUGAUUGCUGUCAAGAAGUAACCCUACGCACAAAAAAAAAACACAAAAGGGACAUCCUCAUGAAAUACACAAAAAUGAGUCCAACAUCUAGUGAGGAUUUAUAAAUUUUCAAUAUAAAAGGUUCAAGAAAACAUGUCAGAAAACUAAACUUUCCAAGACACAACUAAGAGGAUAAACACUUCAUGAUAACCAAAAUUGAAACUUACAUCUAAUAGGCCAUAAAAACAGAAAAAUAAAUGAAAAAAAAUCCAAAGCAGAGUAUAAACUGUAAUAAUACAUCUUCCCUAGCACACAGAUGUAGUCUUAUUGCAAAAAAUCAUUUUUUCAUAUUCCUUUUUAAAUAUCAAUUAGAGAUAUGAUUUAUACAUCUUAAUAUUUUUUCCCACACUGUAAAAAUAUAAGUUUUAACAUAUUUUUUCCAAUAAGUCCUAGACAAAUAAAAACCUAAGAAAUUACUUUCUAAACACAUAAGGCUCAUAACUGGCAUAUUUGUUUUUAUUUUUGUGCCAUCAAUUAAAUCAUCUCUUAUCCAAUCUCUAUGUAUUGUGAAAAAUUUAUCAAUUUUUCAUAUCUCUUCCUGUCACUAAUCCAAGGAAUAAGGAGAGUGUUUAUAAAAUUAAAUAAAGGCGAUGCACUUAUAUAUGCUUUGUAAAUAAUUAACCUAGCAUUUAAACCCCUUCUCAUUAUGUUUAUACUCUCAUUAGACAAAAAAUAUCAAUUUUGGUAUUUAUUUUCCCUUAAAGUAUAAAUAAUUUUAAAAAUUUAUAAAAAGAAUAAAUAAGGUUGCAUUCUAAAUAUUAACCUUGCAUUUUAACGCUCAGGUAAGGACAAAAAUAUUAACCUUGCAUUUGAAUGCUCGGGUAAGGACAAAGUGUCUAGGUAGAGAAUCUAAUGACUUAGAACUUAGAAUAAUAAUCAUUUCCCAACUUUAUUUUCACAAGAAAAUGCUCAGUUUUUCAGUAGAUUAAAUUUGCUCAUAUUUAGCAUUGUCAUUAUUUAAAAAUUAUUGGCAACUUAAGCAUGCUAAUUUCAAAACUCUAGCUUCAAAAUAGAGUUUUAACAUCUACAGGAGUACAAGGAAGAAAAGAGCAGGGACAAAAAAUUAUUAGAAGUACCGAGAAUUUUUUGUCAGUAUCAUAGAGUAGGCAAUUAAAUAGCAAGAAAAAUAGUCAAAUAGUCAAAGCUACAGAAGUAAAGCUAAAAUUGAAUCACAAGCUCAAGACAUACAAAUUAUUAAAUAUAAUUCAACAAUUGAAUUUGACAAUCAAAAUUAAGGCUCAGAUUAUUAGUUAAUAAAAGCUUUGCUAAAAGAAGAGCACAAGCAUUUGAACUCAACAAAUAGCCCUAUAGAUUCCAAAUAAGAAAAAUUACUCUUCUGUGACUCACUUAUUUCUCCAAUUAGCAGCAAGAAUAAAACAAAACAUUUUUGAAUAACCUAACAGCUAAAAAGAAGCAAGAAAUACCUAUUACUCAAUUGAUGGUAGCAAGAUUUGUUUUAAUUUGUUGCCUCCUACAAUAACAACAAAAAUUCAUUCAGAUACUCACCAAAUAAAUGAAAAAGCAUUCUUCUUUUGCAUCGUUUAUAGUUUAACGUAACCCAUAGGCAGUAGUGGAGUUGUGGAAGCAUGCACAUUUUACGUGAGCAACAAGUGCCCAUUUCCCAUAUGGCCUGCCACUGCCCCGAACCAAGGCUUUCCAGUCGUAGCAAACGGUGGCUUCUAUCUUCCAUCCGGGAGACUCCGGAAAUUCCAGGCACCAGGAGAUUCGAGUGGCCGCAUCUGGGCCAGAACAGGCUGCAAUUUCGACUACUCCAACGACGGACGAGCCUGUGAAACAGGCGACUGCAACGGGCGACUCGAAUGCGCCGGGGUGAUCGGCGUUCCUCCUGUGACGCUAGUAGAGUUUACGUUGCAGGUUGACAAGAGGCAGCCGAGUUUCUACGACGUAAGUAUAGUGGAUGGCUACAACCUCCCUGUUUCAGUGACCCCAUAUCCUACAGCACCAAAAUGCUACAUCGGAGGGUGCUUCUCAGAUAUAAAAAAGGAGUGCCCUGGGGAGCUAGCGGUCCUGAAUGAGCUCGGAACUUUUUCUUAAGAGUUUGAUAUUAUCAAGCCACCAAAAAAGAAGCAAAAAACAAUCAUGUUACGCUACACUCAGUUUUCAAAAAAUAGGAAAAAAUUGGAAAAGACCUUUAAGUUAACAUAAGUUUUGAAACUUACCAGUGAAUUCAAUGCAGAGAAGAAGAAGAAUCUGGACAGCAAGUUGAGUGACAAUGUUGAACCACUUAGAUUACUCUAAAAUCCAUCAAAUGGCCAACAUUUGAUUCAAAAUAAAGCUAAUUUAUUAGUUUUAGAUAUCAAUAGAAACACAAAUGAAGCAAUUCUUUUGUUUAAAGAACCUUCUCAAGAGAUCCAAAAAACACCAUCUAGAUUUAUUGUUGCAUUUGCAAUCAACCUAAGAACCAAUUAUCCCAAGUUUCAGACAGACAUUUCAUCAAACAUUUGAUAGCCAUGCCUAUGAGAUUUCACAUAUUCACUUGAAGGCAGUGUCAUACUAAAACCAUGUUUUGAGUUAAUGAAGCAAAUAUAACAUAAGCAAUCAUUGUAAGGGAUCAUAACAUACCUGAGAUAAGUGAUAAGAAAGCAUCAAAACAGGGAGUAAUAAUACUUGAAGUAGAACUGAAUUUGUACGAGAAUUUCGGAAGAACAAACUAAGCUACCGUUGGACUAAUAAAUGAAAAAAACAAUGAACUUUGACAAUUAAAAGUAAAGCUCCAAUUUGUUUGUCAAUGGCAGGCGAAGAAGAAGAGCACAACCAUGGCUGCAAACUCAGUUGCAGUUCUGGAAUAAUAUAUACUCCAAAAUGCCAUCUGAGUUGCCUCGCCAAGAUACAGCUUAAAUCCAGUUAGUAUCAAGCCUGAAAUACAACUCACGGCAACAAUAUUGUAUCAUCACAGCCGAAAAUGAGAACAAAAUAAAUUCACCUAUUUCUGAUCUUCAUCUGUUGUGAAAAUCCAACAAAAAAAUCAACACUAUAUUCGAACAAAAUUUAGAUCCAUUAAACCCUGGUAAGGAAAUAAAAAGAAGAAAAAACAAAUGUUCAAACCAAAAAGGAAAUAACAAAAAAUUGUACUUCCAUAUGAAAUAGCACAUACCGAAUCAAGAGGGAAAAAAGCCAAAACCAGAGUGAACGAAGGUUAGAAUGAGAGUGUGAUUAGAGAAAGAGACGUGCAAAUACAGAUAAAAGGUACAGGCUAAGUGAAUAGGAUCCUACUUCUCAGCAGAACUGGAAUAAGGGAAAAAUCACAUCCAAGCAGAUAUUUGUAAUCGUAAUCAUACGGAUGAUGAAGGUUGAAUAGAAAGCAUAAUUUGGGUGGAAAAUUGAAUACCAAAGCUGAUCAGAAUAGAAUGGCAUACCUAAAAAAAAAUUCCCCAUUUCACUCCUUUGAAGUACAACUAUCACGUGAGGCUCCAACAAUUCGGCAACAUGAGACGAAAUCGAUACAGAAACGGGUUAAUUGGAUAUCAGAGAAAGAGGGAAAAACGGCUAGUGUAAGCAAAGUAGUUCACCUGCACCCAAUUCUCCUGCUCUGAAGUACAAAGGCCAUGUGAAUGAUCAGCAAAUCAAGCGGCUGCAGGAGUAGCAGCUGACCUGUUGGCUUAAAGAAGGAAGUCACAAAGAGAUGAGAUGGUGGGUUUGGUAGCAUAGCCGGUUGGGAUGGGACUUGCUCAGAAUAGGUGUGCUGAAUUUUGCUCAGAAUAGGCGCGUGGUAGAGAGAGCAGGAAAAGGCUUCAAUGCAAUUUGAGGGGAAGACGGUGGAAUGGCAAAAGAAGGAAAAUAAAUAGAAGACUUCGGUCGGUCAAGAGAAGCUUUGUAAGAAACACUUUACUUGCCAUUUGUCAGAUAAUUAAGGAACCACGUGGCAAGAGGAAAGGAAAGCAUUAAAUCUGGCUGUUUUCUUAUAUACAAGACUAGGGGGUUAUCGGCUGUGCUAAGCACAGCCUAGGCCCCCUAUAAUCUGUUAGCAAAUAAUAACCAAUCAAGUAUGUAGCUAAGAAUAUGAGACUAAACAAAACAUCACCAAUCAUUAGUAUUGCAACAGAUAAAAGAAGAUGACAAAAGGUUGACAAGUAGUUUCAUAAAUAGCUUAACAUCUUCAAAUAUAAAGUGCAAUCAUAGGCUGCAAUUACAAAAGAUCACAUAUUGAGAUCCAUUAAGGUGCACAAAAGAACAAUUUCUUAAUGGAUGUCAAUAUUAAUGCAGCUGUAAAGUGUUUUAACAUUAGCAAAAUGAAGAAUUCAAAAGGCUUCAAGGAAGUUCAG